GGAUAUAUCCAAACGGCAAGUUGCUCCUCGUUACGGUGUUGCCGGGAGAGCGAUGCGAUUGAGCCAUUGAGUGAUGGGCAGGAAAAACUUGACUGUUUCUCCUGCCAUGGGGGAUGGGGGAUGGGAGGGGGAAAGGGAUGUGGAUUCUUUUAAGAAUGUGGAUAUUUGGGUCAUCUUUGGCGCCCCCUAGAACGUAAACCGUGGGGUGCAGCGUCAUGAUUUUUAAAACUUUGAAUGGCCAUGGGGUGUAGAUUGGCCUGAGCAAAUUUGGUGUCAGUGGGACGAAAGCCUUAGGAGGAGUUAGCCACAUUCCAAUGUGUGCUAAUCGGCAAAAAAUGCAAAAUAGCCCUUUAACCGUACAUUUUACAGAUACGCGCGCAUUGACUUUUUCGUAGAUCUUAUUGAGAUACAUGUGUGUGUCAAAUUUUGUGUCAAUAUGACAAAGCAUACAGGUAUGACAGUCAACAAUGUGUAUUUUCACCUUAUGGGACAAGAAAAAAUGGACUUUUUUCUCCUGCCAUGGGGGGCGCUCUUUUAGGGAGUAAAAAUUCCUUCACAAAUGUGUUGAUGGCUGGACAUUGCAUCAUCCUAGAAAACUUGGAGGCCAGAGAGGACAAAAAUAAAAAGUUAUAAGACUUUUAAAUAUGUGGAUUUUAGGGUUAUCUUUGGCGCCCCCUAGAACCUAAACCGAAGGGUGCAGCGUCAUGAUUUGAAUAACUUUUAAUGGCCAUGGGGUGUAGAUUGGCCUGAGCAAAUGUGGUGCCGGUUGAACGAAAGCCUUCAGAGGAGUUAGCGAAAUUCCAAUGUGUGCGGAUCGGCAAAAAAUGCGCAAUAACCCUUUAACCGUACAUUUGACAGAUACGCCCGCACUGACUUUUUUGUAGAUCUUAUUGAGAUACAUGUGUGUGUCAAUUUUUGUGUAAUUUUGACAAAGCGUACAGGCGUGACAGUCAAUAGUGUGAAUUUUCACCUUAUGGAACAAGAAAAAAUGGACUUUUUUCUCCUGCCAUGGGGGGGCGCUCUUUUGGGGAGUAAAAAUUCCUUCACAAAUGUGUUGAUGGCUGGACAUUGCAUCAUCCUAGAAAACUUGGAGGCCAGUGAGGGCAAAAAUAAAAAGUUAUAAGACUUUGAAAUAUGUGGAUUUUAGGGUUAUCUUUGGCGCCCCCUAGAACAUAAACCGUGGGGUGCAGCGUCAUGAUUUGAAUAACUUUUAAUGGCCAUGGGGUGUAGAUUGGCCUGAGCAAAUGUGGUGCCGGUGGAACGAAAGCCUUCGGAGGAGUUAGCGAAAUUCCAAUGUGUGCGGAUCGGCAAAAAAUGCGCAAUAACCCUUUAACCGUACAUUUGACAGAUACGCCCGCACUGACUUUUUUGUAGAUCUUAUUGAGAUACAUGUGUGUGUCAAUUUUUGUGUAAUUUUGACAAAGCGUACAGGCGUGACAGUCAAUAGUGUGAAUUUUCACCUUAUGGAACAAGAAAAAAUGGACUUUUUUCUCCUGCCAUGGGGGGCGCUCUUUUGGGGAGUAAAAAUUCCUUCACAAAUGUGUUGAUGGCUGGACAUUGCAUCAUCCUAGAAAACUUGGAGGCCAGUGAGGGCAAAAAUAAAAAGUUAUAAGACUUUGAAAUAUGUGGAUUUUAGGGUUAUCUUUGGCGCCCCCUAGAACAUAAACCGUGGGGUGCAGCGUCAUGAUUUGAAUAACUUUUAAUGGCCAUGGGGUGUAGAUUGGCCUGAGCAAAUGUGGUGCCGGUGGAACGAAAGCCUUCGGAGGAGUUAGCGAAAUUCCAAUGUGUGCGGAUCGGCAAAAAAUGCGAAAUAACCCUUUAACCGUACAUUUGACAGAUACGCCCGCACUGACUUUUUUGUAGAUCUUAUUGAGAUACAUGUGUGUGUCAAUUUUUGUGUAAUUUUGACAAAGCGUACAGGCGUGACAGUCAAUAGUGUGAAUUUUCACCUUAUGGAACAAGAAAAAAUGGACUUUUUUCUCCUGCCAUGGGGGGGCGCUCUUUUGGGGAGUAAAAAUUCCUUCACAAAUGUGUUGAUGGCUGGACAUUGCAUCAUCCUAGAAAACUUGGAGGCCAGUGAGGGCAAAAAUAAAAAGUUAUAAGACUUUGAAAUAUGUGGAUUUUAGGGUUAUCUUUGGCGCCCCCUAGAACAUAAACCGUGGGGUGCAGCGUCAUGAUUUGAAUAACUUUUAAUGGCCAUGGGGUGUAGAUUGGCCUGAGCAAAUGUGGUGCCGGUGGAACGAAAGCCUUCGGAGGAGUUAGCGAAAUUCCAAUGUGUGCGGAUCGGCAAAAAAUGCGAAAUAACCCUUUAACCGUACAUUUGACAGAUACGCCCGCACUGACUUUUUUGUAGAUCUUAUUGAGAUACAUGUGUGUGUCAAUUUUUGUGUCAUUUUGACAAAGCGUACAGGCGUCAGGUGAAUUUUUCACCUUAGGGGGCGCUAUGGAGCCAUUUUGCAUUGUAUUGUUUGGGCGACUUCAGAAUAUCAAAUUUUUCACCAGGCCCGGUCGUCCUGCCAAAUUUCAUGAGUUUUCGCCAGUGGGAAGUGGGCCAUUUUCCAGUUCAAAGGGGAGGAAAAAUAAUAACUAGGACCCCGUUGGGGCACUGGCGGGCCCGAGCCGUGUCGCGUCCCCCCAACGUGCUGCCUCCCCGUCCCAUUUGUGUCCUCUGGCCAUCGCCCUCUCUGGUAACGCCCAUCACUGCAAAGACCCUUUUCCUUCAUCAGCGUUUGCUGUUCUUCCUGCCAGUGCGUGUUGCUUUCACUUACACUUGCCACAGCCAGCCUCGUGAGUGCCUAGCCUAUUGGAUAUCACUGUCACCUACACAGGACAGUCAUUACCUUUCUAUUAAUACUUUGUGUUUUAAUUUCACAUUAAUUUCCAUAUUGUAUAAACGACUGGAAAAAACUUGAGCCCCUGCCCCUGUAUAAUCAUGUGCAUGUCUCUGUUCUAGCUCCAAGGUGAAUCUUCACUGCUCAUGUUCUCCUCAGAAGCACUCACCUCACUCCCCUCAGGUUACUGUACACAUGCACCAACUGCCUGCUUCAGGUUUGGAUGGAGCUUCAUGGUUGUCUUUUGGAGAAAUGAGCAGUCAAGUUGUGUUUGAAAUUUGAUUUUUUUCAGGGGCAAAAGGAGCCUCUGCAUUCUUGUCAAAUAUGUAAAUAGCAUGUUUUUGCAGGUGCUAAAAACCAGACUCUGAGUGUGUGUGUGUGUGUGUGUGUGUGUGUGUGUGUGCGUGUGUGUGUCUGUGUGUGCGUUCAAGUCACAUGACAUAUUUAACCGGAUGUAGCUGCAAGACGGAGCCUCGUUGACUCUCCGUUUCAACUUAUCUCAAAAGUGAGGACCUCAACCUAUAUACCAGUUUUUAAAUUGUGUUGAUAGGCCAAAUAAAACCAGAGUUAUGAUAAAUUAUGUCCGCGAUACUUUUUUUCUGCUUAUUUUGAUCACGUUCGGCGCUCGAUCGCGCUGUAUGAGACAGGAAAACAUAGCAUGCAGACAUUAGCGACAGCUCUUACAGGCGGAAAAGGCUUGCCAAAAGAAAAAAAAAACACACCACAACAUCUCUCCUAUUGGUGGAAAACUUCACCACAACAACCAAUCCAAAAUUAUAUGGUGACUGAUUGACAAGGGGCGGGCGCUUACGUUCUUCCUGCAACAUGAGAAGGGAGGGAGGGACUCUCAGCAGGGAUGCAGUCUGGGACACGUAGUUGCAAACCUAGCGACUUUGUUGUUAGAUUCAAUGACUUUUCAGACCCCCUAACGACUUUUUUUUAGAAAGAAAGGGACUUUUAUCGACUUCUUCUGGAGUUUAGAGACUCUGACAUGAAGCAGGCUUUCCUUACUGAGGAGUUAGCAACGCUGCUAAGGGUGCAGAGCCACACAUGCGCUCAGAGCUCUGCAUGGGAGACUGAAGCUGACAGAGCUGCAGCAGUUAGCAGGUUUCACCCUCAGAGACCACCAGGGGUUCAUGUUGAGGCAUUUUAAUUUUUUUUUUUUUUGUGCCAUAGACACUGUCAGCACAAUCUGCAGUUACACUAACAAAAAUGCUGCAAAAAACAAAGAAUUAUGGAAAAAUUACACAUGGACUGACAUACAGGAGGAUCUACACAAGUUUUUUACAUCAUGUUUUACAUCAUGCAUCAUUUACAUCAUGUUUUUUGUAGUGGCAUAAAUAAAAAGUGACAUUUGUGAGACUAUACAGUGUUUUGUAAAUAAUUUUACAAAGAACGCCUGGGCCAUUGCCUGCAUUUUGAUGUAAAUAGAGGUAAAUCACUAUGUUCUUUGUUAAAAAUUUGCAUAUGUUUUGAAGUUUACAAUUUUUAUUUGAAGUUUAAGUUUUAAAAACAGUUCAUCACACAUAUUUGUGGUUUUCACAGUAAAAAUGUUACUUUUUUCCACUCGGAUUUGAUGUUUUGUGUGUGAAUUUGGGUCCAUUGUGUAAAUUCAGUAUGUCAACAUGAUAAAAUAACUGUAAAUUCGCACAGGUGAGGUUGUGCUGAAAAAAAUGAUACCAGGCAAGGCACGUGAUUGUCAAAUUUUGUGUCAAUAUGACAAAGCGUAUAGGCGUGAAUCUCAACAAUAUGUAUUUUCACCUUAGGGGACAAGAAAAAAUGGACUUUUUUCUCCUGCCAUGGGGGGCGCUCUUUUGGGGAGUAAAAAUUCCUUCACAAAUGUGUUGAUGGCUGGACAUUGCAUCAUCCUAGAAAACUUGGAGGCCAGUGAGGACAAAAAUAAAAAGUUAUAAGACUUUUAAAUAUGUGGAUUUUAGGGUUAUCUUUGGCGCCCCCUAGAACCUAAACCGUGGGGUGCAGCGUCAUGAUUUUGAUAACUUUUAAUGGCCAUGGGGUGUAGAUUGGCCUGAGCAAAUGUGGUGCCGGUGGAACGAAAGCCUUAGGAGGAGUUAGCCACAUUCCAAUGUGUGCGGAUCGGCAAAAAAUGCGGAAUAACCCUUUAACCGUACAUUUGACAGAUACGCGCGCAUUGACUUUUUCGUAGAUUUUACAUGUGUGUGUCAAUUUUUGUGUCAUUUUGACAAAGCGUACAGGCGUGACAGUCAAUAGUGUGAAUUUUCACCUUAGGGGGCGCUAUGGAGCCAUUUUGCAUUUUCUUGUUUGGGCGACUUCGGAAUAUCAAAUUUUUCACCAGGCCCGGUCGUCCUGCCAAAUUUCAUGAGUUUUCGCCAGUGGGAAGUGGGCCAUUUUCCAGUUCAAAGGGGAGGAAAAAUAAUAACUAGGACCCCGUUGGGGCACUGGCGGGCCCGAGCUGUGUCGCGUCCCCCCCCCAACGCGCUGCCUCCCCGUCCCAUUUGUGUCCUCUGGCCAUCGCCCUCUUUGGUAACGCCCAUCACUGCAAAGACCCUUUUCCUUCAUCGGCGUUUGCUGUUCUUCCUGCCAGUGCGUGUUGCUUUCACUUACACUUGCCACAGCCAGCCUCGUGAGUGCCUAGCCUAUUGGAUAUCACUGUCACAUACACAGGACAGUCAUUACCUUUCUAUUAAUACUUUGUUUUUUAAUUUCACAUUAAUUUCCAAAUUGUAUAAACGACUGGAAAAAACUUGAGCCCCUGCCCCUGUAUAAUCAUGUGCACGUCUCUGUUCUAGCUCUAAGGUAAAUCUUCACUGCUCAUGUUCUCCUCAGAAGCAGUCACCUCACUCCCCUCAGGUUACUGUACACAUGCACCAACUGCCUGCUUCAGGUUUGGAUGGAGCUUCAUGGUUGUCUUUUGGAGAAAUGACCAGUCAAGUUGUGUUUGAAAUUUGAUUUUUUUCAGGGGCAAAAGGAGCCUCUGCAUUCUUGUCAAAUAUGUAAAUAGCAUGUUUUUGCAGGUGCUACAAACCAGACUCUGAGUGUGUGUGUGUGCGUGUGUGUGUGUGUCUGUGUGUGUGUGUGUGCGUUCAAGUCACAUGACAUAUUUAACCGGAUGUAGCUGCAAGACGGAGCCUCGUUGACUCUCCGUUUCAAUUUAUCUCAAAAGUGAGGACCUCAACCUAUAUACCAGUUUUUAAAUUGUGUUGAUAGGCCAAAUAAAACCAGAGUUAUGAUAAAUUAUGUCCGCGAUACUUGUUUUCUGCUUAUUUUGAUCACGUUCGGCGCUCGAUCGCGCUGUAUGAGACAGGAAAACAUAGCAUGCAGACAUUAGCGACAGGUCUUACAGGCGGAAAAGGCUUGCCAAAGGAAAAAAAAUACACACCACAACAUCUCUCCUAUUGGUGGAAAACUUCACCACAACAACCAAUCCAAAAUUAUAUGGUAACUGAUUGACAAGGGGCGGGAACUUACGUUCUUCCUGCAAUAUGAGAAGGGAGGGAGGGACUCUCAGCAGGGAUGCAGUCUGGGACACGUAGUUGCAAACCUAGCGACUUUGUUGUUAGAUUCAAUGACUUUUCAGACCCCCUAACGACUUUUUUUUAGAAAGAAAGGGACUUUUAUCGACUUCUUCUGGAGUUUAGAGACUCUGACAUGAAGCAGGCUUUCCUUACUGAGGAGUUAGCAACGCUGCUAAGGGUGCAGAGCCACACAUGCGCUCCGAGCUCUGCAUGGGAGACUGAAGCUGACAGAGCUGCAGCAGUUAGCAGGUUUCACCCUCAGAGACCACCAGGGGUUCAUGUUGAGGCAUUUUCAGUUUUUUUUUUUUUUUUUUUUUGCCAUAGACACUGUCAGCACAAUCUGCAGUUACACUAACAAAAAUGCUGCAAAAAACAAAGAAUUAUGGAAAAAUUACACAUGGACUAACAUAGAGGAGGAUCUACACAAGUUUUUUACAUCAUGUUUUACAUCAUGCAUCAUUUACAUCAUGUUUUUUUGUAGUGGCAUAAAUAAAAAGUGACAUUUGUGAGACUAUACAGUGUUUUGUAAAUAAUUUUACAAAGAACACCUGGGCCAUUGCCUGCAUUUUGAUGUAAAUAGAGGUAAAUUACUAUGUUCUUUGUUAAAAAUUUGCAUAUGUUUUGAAGUUUACAAUUUUUAUUUGAAGUUUAAGUUUUAAAAACAGUUCAUCACACAUAUUUGUGGUUUUCACAGUAAAAACGUUACUUUUUUCCACUCGGAUUUUAUGUUUUGUGUGUGAAUUUGGGUCCAAUGUGUAAAUAUAGUAUGUCAAAAUGAUAAAAUAACUGUAAAUUGACACAGGUGAGGUUGUGCUGAAAAAAAUGAUACCAGGCAAGGCAAGGUAAAAAUCUUGUAAGAGGAAAUAUAAAGGUAAAAUCUAAAGUAGUCAAAAACGGCCAAUAGUGACUCACAGACUCCACAGACAAGUCCCUUUGGCGCCACUCAGUGGGCAAAACUACUUUGUCUACUGUAAUGUAUAUUUGGGUCAUCUUUGGCGCCCCCUAAAACGUAAACCGUGGGGUGCAGCGUCAUGAUUUUUACAACUUUGAAUGGCCAUGGAGUGUAGAUUGGCCUGAGCAAAUUUGGUGUCAGUGGGACGAAAGCCUUAGGAGGAGUUAGCGAAAUUCCAAUGUGUGCGAAUCGGCAAAAAAUGCAAAAUAGCCCUUUUACCGUACAUUAUACAGAUACGCGCUCUUUGACUUUUUCGUAGAUCUAAUUGAGAUACAUAUGAUUGUCAAUUUUUGUGUCAAUAUGAUAAAGCGUACAGGCGUGACAGUCAAUAGUGUGAAUUUCCACCUUAGGGGACAAGAAAAAAUUGACUUUUUUCUCCUGCCAUGGGGGGGCGCUCUUUUGGGGAGUAAAAAUUCCUUCACAAAUGUGUUGAUGGCUGGACAUUGCAUCAUCCUAGAAAACUUGGAGGCCAGUGGGGACAAAAAUAAAAAGUUAUAAGACUUUUAAAUAUGUGGAUUUUACGGUUAUCUUUGGCGCCCCCUAGAACCUAAACCGUGGGGUGCAGCGUCAUGAUUUGAAUAACUUUUAAUGGCCAUGGGGUGUAGAUUGGCCUGAGCAAAUGUGGUGCCGGUGGAACGAAAGCCUUCGGAGGAGUUAGCGAAAUUCCAAUGUGUGCGGAUCGGCAAAAAAUGCGGAAUAACCCUUUAACCGUACAUUUAACAGAUACGCGCGCAUUGACUUUUUCGUAGAUCUUAUUGAGAUACAUGUGUGUGUCAAUUUUUGUGUCAUUUUGCCAAAGCGUACAGGUGUUACACUCAACAAUGUGUAUUUUCAUCUUAGGGGACAAGAAAAAAUGGACUUUUUUCUCCUGCCAUGGGGGGGCGCUCUUUUGGGGAGUAAAAAUUCCUUCACAAAUGUGUUGAUGGCUGGACAUUGCAUCAUCCUAGAAAACUUGGAGGCCAGUGAGGGCAAAAAUAAAAAGUUAUAAGACUUUUAAAUAUGUGGAUCUUAGGGUUAUCUUUGGCGCCCCCUAGAACCUAAACCGUGGGGUGCAGCGUCAUGAUUUGAAUAACUUUUAAUGGCCAUGGGGUGUAGAUUGGCCUGAGCAAAUGUGGUGCCGGUGGACAGAAAGCCUUCGGAGGAGUUAGCGAAAUUCCAAUGUGUGCGGAUCGGCAAAAAAUGCGAAAUAACCCUUUAACCGUACAUUUGACAGAUACGCCCGCACUGACUUUUUUGUAGAUCUUAUUGAGAUACAUGUGUGUGUCAAUUUUUGUGUCAUUUUGACAAAGCGUACAGGCGUGACAGUGAAUAGUGUGAAUUUUCACCUUAGGGGGCGCUAUGGAGCCAUUUUGCAUUUUCUUGUUUGGGCGACUUCGGAAUAUCAAAUUUUUCACCAGGCCCGGUCGUCCUGCCAAAUUUCAUGAGUUUUCGCCAGUGGGAAGUGGGCCAUUUUCCAGUUCAAAGGGGAGGAAAAAUAAUAAUAAUAACAAAAGAAGGAAACUACAGGAACAAGAGGGCUCUCGCAGCUGCUUAGCAGCUACGCUCGGGCCCUAAAGAAAGAAAGAAAGAAAGAAAGAAAGAAACAAAGAAAAACCACUUGGGGAAUAAUAGGGCCUACGCCCGGCUGCUCUGCAGCUGGCUCGGGCCCUAAUAACAAAAGAAGGAAACUACAGGAACAAGAGGGCUCUCGCAGCUGCUUAGCAGCUACGCUCGGGCCCUAAAGAAACAAAGACUAGGACCCCGUUGGGGCACUGGCGGGCCCGAGCCGUGUCGCGUCCCCCCCCCCCCAACGUGCUGCCUCCCCGUCCCAUUUGUGUCCUCUGGCCAUCGCCCUCUCUGGUAACGCCCAUCACUGCAAAGACCCUUUUCCUUCAUCGGCGUUUGCUGUUCUUCCUGCCAGUGCGUGUUGCUUUCACUUACACUUGCCACAGCCAGCCUCGUGAGUGCCUAGCCUAUUGGAUAUCACUGUCACCUACACAGGACAGUCAUUACCUUUCUAUUAAUACUUUGUGUUUUAAUUUCACAUUAAUUUCCAUAUUGUAUAAACGACUGGAAAAAACUUGAGCCCCUGCCCCUGUAUAAUCAUGUGCAUGUCUCUGUUCUAGCUCCAAGGUGAAUCUUCACUGCUCAUGUUCUCCUCAGAAGCACUCACCUCACUCCCCUCAGGUUACUGUACACAUGCACCAACUGCCUGCUUCAGGUUUGGAUGGAGCUUCAUGGUUGUCUUUUGGAGAAAUGACCAGUCAAGUUGUGUUUGAAAUUUGAUUUUUUUCAGGGGCAAAAGGAGCCUCUGCAUUCUUGUCAAAUAUGUAAAUAGCAUGUUUUUGCAGGUGCUAAAAACCAGACUCUGAGUGUGUGUGUGUGUGUGUGUGUGUGUGUGUGUGCGUGUGUGUGUGUCUAUGUGUGCGUUCAAGUCACAUGACAUAUUUAACCUGAUGUAGCUGCAAGACGGAGCCUCGUUGACUCUCCGUUUCAACUUAUCUCAAAAGUGAGGACCUCAACCUAUAUACCAGUUUUUAAAUUGUGUUGAUAGGCCAAAUAAAACCAGAGUUAUGAUAAAUUAUGUCCGCGAUACUUUUUUUCUGCUUAUUUUGAUCACGUUCGGCGCUCGAUCGCGCUGUAUGAGACAGGAAAACAUAGCAUGCAGACAUUAGCGACAGGUCUUACAGGCGGAAAAGGCUUGCCAAAAGAAAAAAAAAACACACCACAACAUCUCUCCUAUUGGUGGAAAACUUCACCACAACAACCAAUCCAAAAUUAUAUGGUGACUGAUUGACAAGGGGCGGGCGCUUACGUUCUUCCUGCAACAUGAGAAGGGAGGGAGGGACUCUCAGCAGGGAUGCAGUCUGGGACACGUAGUUGCAAACCUAGCGACUUUGUUGUUAGAUUCAAUGACUUUUCAGACACCCUAACGACUUUUUUUUAGAAAGAAAGGGACUUUUAUCGACUUCUUCUGGAGUUUAGAGACUUUGACAUGAAGCAGGCUUUCCUUACUGAGGAGUUAGCAACGCUGCUAAGGGUGCAGAGCCACACAUGCGCUCAGAGCUCUGCAUGGGAGACUGAAGCUGACAGAGCUGCAGCAGUUAGCAGGUUUCACCCUCAGAGACCACCAGGGGUUCAUGUUGAGGCAUUUUAAUUUUUUUUUUUUGUGCCAUAGACACUGUCAGCAAAAUCUGCAGUUACACUAACAAAAAUGCUGCAAAAAACAAAGAAUUAUGGAAAAAUUACACAUGGACUGACAUAGAGGAGGAUCUACACAAGUUUUUUACAUCAUGUUUUACAUCAUACAUCAUUUACAUCAUGUUUGUUUGUAGUGGCAUAAAUAAAAAGUGACAUUUGUGAGACUAUACAGUGUUUUGUAAAUAAUUUUACAAAGAACGCCUGGGCCAUUGCCUGCAUUUUGAUGUAAAUAGAGGUAAAUUACUAUGUUCUUUGUUAAAAAUUUGCAUAUGUUUUGAAGUUUACAAUUUUUAUUUGAAGUUUAAGUUUUAAAAACAGUUCAUCACACAUAUUUGUGGUUUAAUUUCACAUUAAUUUCCAUAUUGUAUAAAUGACUGGAAAAAACUUGAGCCCCUGCCCCUGUAUAAUCAUGUGCACGUCCCUGUUCUAGCUCCAAGGUGAAUCUUCACUGCUCAUGUUCUCCUCAGAAAUAGUCACCUCACUCCCCUCAGGUUACUGUACACAUGCACCAACUAUCUGCUUCAGGUUUGAAAUGGAGCUUCAUGGUUGUCUUUUGGAGAAAUGAACAGUCAAGUUGUGUUUGAAAUUUGAUUUUUUUCAGGGGCAAAAGGAAGCCUCUGCAUUCUUGUCAAAUAUGUAAACAGCAUGUUUUUGCAGGUGCUAAAAAACAGACUCUGAGUGUGUGUGUGUGUCUGUGUGUGUGUGUGUGUGUGUGUGUGUGUGUGUGUGUAUGUUGGCGUGUGUGUAUAUGUGUGUGUAUCCUGCAGUACUCUGUACUCCUGCAGUGGCCAAAAAGACUUUUAAGAAUGUGGAUUUUUGGGUCAUCUUUGGCGCCCCCUAGAACUGCAGUACUCUGUACUCCUGCAGUGGCCAAAAUGACUUUUAAGAAUGUGGAUUUUUGGGUCAUCUUUGGCGCCCCCUAGAACGUAAACCGUGGGGUGCAGCGUCAUGAUUUUUACAACUUUGAAUGGGCAUGGGGUGUAGAUUGCCCUGAGCAAAUUUGGUAUCGGUGUGACGAAAGCCUUAGGAGGAGAUAGCCACAUUCCAAUGUGUGCGAAUCGGCAAAAAAUGCAAAAUAGCCCUUUAACCGUACAUUAUACAGAUACGC
rnacentral:lncRNA from 1 species